GAAUCAUUUUUUAAAGCACCCUGACCCUUUAAUGAAAAGAGCCAGUAAGAUAGCAUCUGAAAAAAGAAAGACAGAUUUUAGGAACAAAGGAUUUUUUUCCUUGUGCUUUGUUUUCCCAGUCUUGAAUUAAUCACAGCUGUCUUUCCCCAGCAAAGGUUAUUUUUAUCUAGCAUGCUUUAAAUUAAAAAACAACAACAACAAAGGGAGCAAUCUGAUGUUCUUCAAGCUCCCAGAGCCCUUCCACAGAAAAAGAAGCAUUCACUCUGUGCAGCUAAGAAUCCAGCUUUUAAUUCUAUCUUUUCUUGUGUUUACAUAAACUUUCGUUUGCAUUUCAGAAGCCUUAUGGAAAGAUUCCUGUGGCUGACCCGGGAGUAGUGGUGAAUUUCUCCAUCAAUGAUUGAUCUAUACCAAGGACUAAAGAAGGCUUCACCAGUUCAAGGAAAUAUCACUGUUCCCCAGGCAAGGUGUAUGGAUUCUGUUCAGAGGUCAUCUGAUUGCAGCAAAUAAUCAGUAGCAAAUAACCAGGAAAGGGUCUGGUGGAUGGAGCAUAUUUUCAGUUGAUUUUCUUUUAAGGAUUUUGAGAGAGAAAAAAAGUUAACUUCCGCGUAUACAUGUGCUCAGUCAGCUAUCCUGAGACAGAAGCCGGGAAUAGACAUAAAAGCAAGAUAAAAUAAUGGUACUUGAGGCUGCUAUUCUCACUUAGUACUCAUCUCAGUUUUCUAAAGACCCAUCUAAAGAUGUUCAUCUUUAAUUCAUCUGAGAAAAGGAGCAAGAAUACUUCAUGACCAUAAGAAAUGGACUCUCACUCAAAAUGCUGGUCACUGCACAGAAGCAAAGAUUGGAGUCAUUUUCAGAGAAGUAAGAAUUUCAAAGUGUCCUAAAUAUGUGAGCAGAGUGAAAUGAACUUUUUUAUGAGAAAGAUAUUAAUUGCUAAAUGAAAAUAAAGAAAGAACUAUAACAAAA